GGUUUUCAGGGCAAGAAUUCUGGAGUGGGUUACCAUUUCCUUCUCCAGCAUCCACCGGCCCCUGUCAGCUCAGGAUGAUGGCGAAGUUGACAGCUUGAGUCCUGGAGCCAGACAAGCUCUGUGCACAUUUGCUGCAGGACAUCAGACCACUAAAAUUCUGCUUGACAUUGAAAUGACCCUGGAGAAGAGGGAGGCUUCAGAGGG